rnacentral:misc_RNA from 1 species
CGGAUAUGUCAUGCUGGCGGACGCGACAGCGUGCGGAGGAAGCCGGUGGGAAUCCGGCGCGGUCCCGCCACUGUCACCGGGGAGCGUCACCGUCCCGGAGGGUCACCUC